UACCAGCACCCCGAGUGGUCGGGACGUUUUAUUGGGCCUAAAGCAUCCGUAGCCGGUUCUACAAGUCUUCCGUUAAAUCCACCUGCUUAACGGAUGGGCUGCGGGGGAUACCGCAGAGCUAGGAGGCGGGAGAGGCAAACGGUACUCAGUGGGUAGGGGUAAAAUCCAUUGAUCUACUGAAGACCACCAGUGGCGAAGGCGGUUUGCCAGAACGCGCUCGACGGUGAGGGAUGAAAGCUGGGGGAGCAAACCGG
rnacentral:rRNA from 1 species